rnacentral:rRNA from 1 species
AUUGAACGCUGGCGGCAGGCUUAACACAUGCAAGUCGAGCGGAGAGAGGUAGCUUGCUACUGGUCUUAGCGGCGGACGGGUGAGUAAUGCUUAGGAAUCUGCCUAUUAGUGGGGGACAACAUUUCGAAAGGAAUGCUAAUACCGCAUACGUCCUACGGGAGAAAGCAGGGGAUCUUCGGACCUUGCGCUAAUAGAUGAGCCUAAGUCGGAUUAGCUAGUUGGUGGGGUAAAGGCCUACCAAGGCGACGAUCUGUAGCGGGUCUGAGAGGAUGACCCGCGACACGGGGACUGGGACACGGCCCAGACGCCUACGGGAGGCAGCAGUGGGGAAUAUUGGACAACGGGCGGAAGCCUGACCCAGCCAGGCCGGGUGUGUGAAGAAGGCCUUCGGGUUGUAAAGCACUUUCAGGGAGGAGGAAGGGUGGUUUGUUAAUAGCAGAUCAUUUUGACGUUACUCGCAGAAGAAGCACCGGCUAACUCUGUGCCAGCCGCCGCCGUAACAC